AGCUUUGCACAGUGGCAGUAUCUCAGCCAAUGAGGUUUAUCUGAGGCGCAAUUAUUGCUAAUAGAAUUAGGACGAUGAUUGGAACUCAUCAGCUUUCUUUUACAUGAAGUAACCUUGUGAAUGGAAGUCUCAAAUCUAAGA
rnacentral:snRNA from 1 species